CAGCAGCCGCGGGAAUACGGAGGGAGCUAGCGUUGUUCGGAAUUACUGGGCGUAAAGCGCGCGUAGGCGGUUACUCAAGUCAGAGGUGAAAGCCCGGGGCUCAACCCCGGAACUGCCUUUGAAACUAGGUGACUAGAAUCUCGGAGAGGUCAGUGGAAUUCCGAGUGUAGAGGUGAAAUUCGUAGAUAUUCGGAAGAACACCAGUGGCGAAGGCGACUGACUGGACAAGUAUUGACGCUGAGGUGCGAAAGCGUGGGGAGCAAACAGGAUUAGAUACCCCAGUAGUCCCUGUCUCUUAUAC
rnacentral:rRNA from 1 species